GACGAAGGAUGCAAGCGUUAUCCGGAUUCAUUGGGUUUAAAGGGAGCGUAGGCGGUUUGGUAAGUCAGUGGUGAAAUCUGUGGGCUUAACCCACAAACUGCCAUUGAUACUGCUGAUCUAGAGUACAGUUGCCGUUGGCGGAAUAUGACAUGUAGUGGUGAAAUACUUAGAUAUGUCAUAGAACACCGAUUGCGAAGGCAGCUAACGAAGCUGUAACUGACGCUGAGGCUCGAAAGUGCGGGGAUCAAACAGG
rnacentral:rRNA from 1 species